GUGCCAGCCGCCGCGGUAAUACGAAGGGGGCUAGCGUUGCUCGGAAUUACUGGGCGUAAAGGGCGCGUAGGCGGAUAGUUUAGUCAGAGGUAAAAGCCCAGGGCUCAACCUUGGAACUGCCUUUGAUACUGGCUAUCUUGAGUUCGGGAGAGGUGAGUGGAAUGCCGAGUGUAGAGGUGAAAUUCGUAGAUAUUCGGCGGAACACCAGUGGCGAAGGCGACUCACUGGCCCGAUACUGACGCUGAGGCGCGAAAGCGUGGGGAGCAAACAGGAUUAGAAACCCUGGUAGUCC
rnacentral:rRNA from 1 species